rnacentral:rRNA from 1 species
AACGAACGCUGGCGGCGCGCCUAACACAUGCAAGUCGAACGCGAAAGUGUAGCAAUACACGAGUAAAGUGGCGCACGGGUGAGUAAUACGUAGGUAAUCUACCUUUGCUACCGGGAUAACCAGUCGAAAGACUGGCUAAUACUGGAUAGAGCGCAUGAUCUGUCAAGGAUUGUGCGGGAAAAGGUGGCCGUAGUAAUACGGCUAUUGAGCUGAGAUGAGCCUGCGUCCCAUUAGCUAGUUGGUAGGGUAAAGGCCUACCAAGGCAAUGAUGGGUAGCUGGUCUGAGAGGACGAUCAGCCACACU